ensembl:snRNA U6 U6 spliceosomal RNA
GUGCUCAUUUCAAUAACAUGCAUGAUAAAACUGAAAUGAGACAGAACAUUAGCAUGGCUCCCGCGCAAGGAUGACAUACAAAUUUGCAAGCGUUCUACAUUUAA